ACCCUCAGCAUACCCAAAUGAACCUGAUCUCACUUGAUCUUGGAAUCUAAGCAGGGUUGUGCCUGGUUAGUACAUGAAUGGAAGACUGUCUGGGAAUACCAGAUGCUAUAGGUA
rnacentral:rRNA from 1 species